UGAUCUGAUUUCACCUUCUGCCUUUAGUGAC
rnacentral:piRNA from 1 species